rnacentral:rRNA from 1 species
CCUACGGGAGGCUGCAGUGGGGAAUAUUGCGCAAUGGGCGAAAGCCUGACGCAGCGACGCCGCGUGAGGGAUGAAGGUCUUCGGAUCGUAAACCUCUGUCAGCAGGGAAGAACGGUCACUGUGCUAAUCAGCAGUGAAUUGACGGUACCUGCAAAGGAAGCACCGGCUAACUCCGUGCCAGCAGCCGCGGUAAUACGGAGGGUGCGAGCGUUAAUCGGAAUUACUGGGCGUAAAGCGCGCGUAGGCGGUAUGUCAAGUCAAGGGUGAAAUCCCCGCGCUCAACGUGGGAACGGACUUUGAAACGGGCAAACUGGAGUGUGGGAGAGGAUAGUGGAAUGCCAGGUGUAGGGGUGAAAGCCGUAGAUAUCUGGAGGAACAGCAGUGGCGAAGGCGACUAUCUGGCACAUAACUGACGCUGAGGAGCGAAAGCGUGGGUAGCAAACAGGAUUAGAUACCCUAGUAGUC